AGGAUGAACGCUGGCGGCGUGCCUAACACAUGCAAGUCGAACGUCCUGUCUCGCAAGAGGCAGGGAGUGGCGGACGGGUGAGUACCACGUGGGCCAUCUACCGUGAGGUGAGGAAUACCGGCGAGAAACUCGCCGACAAGACCGCAUAGCCUCGGUGCAAGUCGAGGAAAGCUCUCUCGAGAGAGGGAGCGCCACACGAGGAGCCUGCGCCCGAUUAGCUAGCUGGUGGAGUAAUGGGUUCACCAGGGCGACGAUCGGUAGCUGGUCUGAGAGGACGAUCAGCCACACUGGGAUUGAGAACGGCCCAGACUCCUACGGGGGGCAGCAGUGAGGAAUUUUCGCAAU
rnacentral:rRNA from 1 species